rnacentral:rRNA from 1 species
CCUACGGGUGGCAGCAGUGGGGAAUAUUGCACAAUGGGGGCAACCCUGAUGCAGCAACGCCGCGUGAGUGAGGAAGUAUUUCGGUAUGUAAAGCUCUAUCAGCAGGGAAUAGAAAAGAAUGUACCUGAAAAAGAUCCCCCGCCUAACUACGUGCCAGCAGCCGCGGUAAUCCGUAGGGGGACAGCGUUAUCCGGAUUUACUGGGUGUAAGGGGAGCGUAGACGGAAAGGCAAGUCAGAAGUGAAAACCCAGGGCUCAACCAUGGGACUGCUUUUGAAACUGUCAAACUAGAGGACGGGAGAGGUAAGAGGAAUUCCUAGUGUAGCGGUGAAAUGCGUAGAUAUGAGGAGGAACACCAGUGGCGAAGGCGUCUUACUGGACCGAAACUGACGUUGAGGCUCGAAAGCGUGGGGAGCAAACAGGAUUAGAUACCCGAGUAGUC